rnacentral:rRNA from 1 species
CCUACGGGAGGCAGCAGUGAGGAAUAUUGGUCAAUGGACGAAAGUCUGAACCAGCCAUGCCGCGUGCAGGAAGACGGCUCUAUGAGUUGUAAACUGCUUUUGUACGAGGGUAAACGCAGAUACGCGUAUCUGUCUGAAAGUAUCGGACUAAUAAGGAUCGGCUAACUCCGUGCCAGCAGCCGCGGUAAUACGGAGGAUUCAAGCGUUAUCCGGAUUUAUUGGGUUUAAAGGGUGCGUAGGGUGUUGGAUAAGUUAGAGGUGAAAUCCCGAGGCUCAACUUCGGAAUGGCCUCUGAUACUGUUCGGCUAGAGAGUAGUAGCGGUAGGCGGAAUGUAUGGUGUAGCAGUGAAAUGCUUAGAGAUCGUACAGAACACCGAUUGCGAAGGCAGCUUACCAAGCUACUUCUGACGUUGAGGCACGAAGGCGUGGGGAGCAAACAGGAUUAGAUACCCCAGUAGUC